UACGUAGGCAGCAAGCGUUGUUCGGAGUUACUGGGCGUAAAGGGCGUGUAGGCGGUUCUUUAAGUUUGGUGUGAAAUCUCCCGGCUCAACUGGGAGGGUGCGCCGAAUACUGAGGGACUAGAGUACGGGAGAGGAAAGUGGAAUUCCUGGUGUAGCGGUGAAAUGCGUAGAUAUCAGGAGGAACACCUGUGGUGUAGACAGCUUACUGGACCACUUCUGACGCUGAGACACGAAAGCGUGGGUAGCAAACAGG
rnacentral:rRNA from 1 species